rnacentral:rRNA from 1 species
AGCAGGCGCGUAAAUUACCCAAUCCUAAUACGGGGAGGUAGUGACAAGAAAUAUUGAUAUUGGACCCAAAGGGUACAAUGAUUGAAAUGAGAACAAUAUAAAAAACUUAACGACUAACAAUUGGAGGGCAAGUCUGGUGCCAGCAGCCGCGGUAAUUCCAGCUCCAAGAGUGUAUAUUAAAGUUGUUGCGGUUAAAAAGCUCGUAGUUGAAUUUCUGAAAAUAAUCUUGUGAUUGAUUUAACCGUCAUGAACAAAAAUUGUUUACAUACUUGAUAGAUGGAAACAUUUAUCUUAAUGACUUUGAAAAAAUUAGAGUGUUCAAAGCAUGAUUCACAUUUGAAUAAUACAGCAUGGAUAAUAUAAUAUGACAUUAGUUAAAAUUUGUUGGUUUCUUGGCUAAUGUAAUGAUUAAAAGGG